AAUCAACGCUGGCGGCGUGCCUCAGACAUGCAAGUCGAACGCGAAAGUCCCCUUCGGGGGAUGAUUAGAGUGGCGUCCGGGUGAGUAACACGUGGGUAAUCUACCUUCGGGUGGGGAAUAACAGUCGGAAACGACUGCUAAUACCGCAUAAUGCAGCGGCACCUAAUGGUGACAGUUGUUAAAGCGGGGUUAGUCGCAAGACCCUCGCGCCUGAAGAGGAGCCCGCGGC
rnacentral:rRNA from 1 species